GCUGGGUGUGGUGGUGCACGCCUGUAAUCCCAGCUACUUGGGAAGCUGAGGCAGGAGAAUUGCUUGAACCUGGGAAGCAGAGGUUGCAGUGAGCCAAGAUCAUGCCACUGCACUCCAGCCUAGGCGACAGAGUGAGACUCUGUCUCAA
rnacentral:SRP_RNA from 1 species